UGAGUAAAAAACAUGAGAGGCCUGAGAACAGAUGUUUUUAACACUCAACAUGACAACCUGUACGGGUGGGGAGGGGAAGACAUGGGGGUCCGAGCAGAUGAUUCUGUCCAAGGUUCGGCAGUGGCUGUACUUUUGCUUGCAGGCUGCUCUCUGGAUACUCUUUUUCCCCGCCAUCUCCCUUCCAAAAUGAAAUUUCCCUUCCACACUUAUUAUUACUGCUCACUUAUUCAACGUGUUGCUAAGAAUCAGCUUUGCGCGCUCUGUCUCUUCUAGUUGCAGCUGGACCCACGGAAAGGAGCGAGCUGGUCAGCAGAGGCUUCGGAGCAGCUGCUCUCAUAAGUCGGCGCAACGUCAACGUUUCCUUAAUCGGAAAAGAGAACUCUGGCCUGGGCUUUGCUCAACAUCUCCGAGUUCGUUUGCGUUACCGCACCAAACACCCAUAAUGAGCAUUUAUCUCCGUGUCCAGGUACGGGAAUAUUAACCCGUUUCCCUUUUGAUUGCCAGGAUGGAGUUACCACGGGGAUAACUGGCUUGCGGCAGCAAAGCGUCCAUAGCGACGUUGCUUUUUGAACCUUUGACGUCGGCUCUUCUUAUCAAGCAGAAUUCGCCAAGCAUUGGACUGUUUACCCACCAGUAGGGAACGUGAGCUGGGCUUAAAUCGCCGCGAGACAGAUUAGUUUUACCCUAUUAUU
rnacentral:ncRNA from 1 species